GGAAGGCAGCGCCAUGGUGGCGAAGCGGUUUUGAAAACCGUGCCGGGCACCCCCCGAGGGUUCGAUUCCUUUGCCUUCCG
rnacentral:tRNA from 1 species